GUCGCGCUUCCUACUCCCACUCCGUUUCCUCCUCGUUUGGAUUCUAUCCCUCCGACGAUCCAAAAUCAGCGAUCGCAUUCACCCUUCCUUCCUCUUCCUCUCUCUCUCUCUCCCCGUUUGCAAGUAGAGUUUGCCAUACUGGGCAAGCCUUGCCCCACACUCCUCUCCAUAUAAUCCGUCCAUUCACCUUCCUUCCUCUUCCUCUCUCUCUCUCGCUCUCCGUUUGCAAGUCGAGUUUGCCAUACUGGGCAAGCCUUGCCCCACACUCCUCUCCAUAUAAUCCGCCCAUUCACCCUUCCUUCCUCUUCCUCUCUCUCUCUCUCUCUCUCUCUCUCUCUCUCCGUUUGUAAGUAGAGUUUGCCAUACUGGGCAAGCCAUGCCCCACACUCCUCUCCAUAUAAUCCGCCCAUUCACCCUCCUCGCCCCAACCUAGUUUCUUGGCCGCCGACGCGGGUUCCGCGAUUACCGUCAUAUGCAUUCUCUUUCUCCAAUCGCAAGUCGUUGGCGUUUGCUUUCUUCUUCUUGUUACUGAUCUUGAUGCUAUUUCGGUGUUUCGUAGUUCUGGUGAGCUGGGAUGGGUUCGCCUGCGAAGGAGUCCGCUUUCGCCUCCACCUCCGAAGCUGCGGCGCCUCAAGAACUGCAGCCUCCGGUGUGGGCGCUGGAAACCGCAGCGGCAGCGGCAGCCAAGGGGAGGGCAGUGCCGUCUGUCUUCCUGCGGACCCAGAUGACGCCUUAUCCGGCUCCUACAAUCCAGGAGAGGCCUCUGCCGCAGGUGGAGGAGGAGAGGAACGAGAGUCCCGCAAGCAAAGCAGAGGGAUCUCAAGAGAAAUCUGGACGUGUUGACAGAAAAUCCUCUGCGUCUGGAAAGAAUUCUAGCUCUAGCUACGUUGAUCACGAUGAAUGGAAGGGCUUCUUGUCAUCUAGAAAGAGAAGAUACGAAGACAUAGUCACCAAGGGUGAAGCUUUACAUCUGGUAACUGCUGAUCAACAUAAUGGUGUCGACAUCGAAGCAUCUGAUGUUAGAGGGGAGCAUUCUGUCAAAACGCUGUCAGUUUCACCAGAAUCACUACUGCUAAGGGCAUUGCCACCUGGUUCUGAAACUGAAUUGAACACAGAGAUCAACCAAUGUAGUUAUCCAUCACCACUGCUAGGAAAUGACCCGGUUGCGCAUAAACAACAGCGGUUGCAGGAUGACGACGAAUUCAGGGAGAGAAGAAAACAGGCAAAUAGGGAGUCAGCAAGAAGGUCAAGAAUACGUAAAAGGCAAGAAUACGAGGACUCAGCAAGGAUGAUGGCCGUAUUGAAAAAUGAGAAUGAUGUACUCAGAGCAAAGAAUGAAAUUCUCAUGAAAAGGAUCAAGGAUUUAGAAGCUGGAAGCAUAAGAAUCAUGGAGAUAUUGAGCAGACUUUACUGGCCUGCUGAUACGUUGGAUGUACUGGGCAUCAGACCGUCGUAGAAGUUUUCAAGACACGACAAUCCUGAAUGUGCUUCUAGGUGAAUACAUUCCUGUUGCUUGGACCCUGCAAGCUUGAACCCCUGACACUUGCUUACUGAUGAAGUUAGUCAGGAGAGGACUCUGAGCCAAGAUGGGUAAAGAUAAUUCAAGAAGAUGCCAAGCUGCUGCUUGUGAGAAGGCAAAAAACAUGCAAACCGAUUGAUGUUUAAUGGUCCAAUGAUACACAGAUGUGAAAUGUAUAGUUAUUUUUUGUUUUAGUUUUAUUUGAUAUACGAUACCGUAUCGAUCUAAUAGAUUAUCAAAACCAGUUCUGGAUUGAUGAUUACAUCUUUGGUCAGCAAUACGAGUAGAUACUUCAACUUUUGCA